rnacentral:rRNA from 1 species
AUGAACGCUGGCGGCGUGCCUAAUACAUGCAAGUCGAGCGAACAGACGAGGAGCUUGCUCCUCUGACGUUAGCGGCGGACGGGGGAGUAACACGUGGAUAACCUACCUAUAAGACUGGGAUAACUUCGGGAAACCGGAGCUAAUACCGGAUAAUAUAUUGAACCGCAUGGUUCAAUAGUGAAAGACGGUUUUGCUGUCACUUAUAGAUGGAUCCGCGCCGCAUUAGCUAGUUGGUAAGGUAACGGCUUACCAAGGCAACGAUGCGUAGCCGACCUGAGAGGGUGAUCGGCCACACUGGAACUGAGACACGGUCCAGACUCCUACGGGAGGCAGCAGUAGGGAAUCUUCCGCAAUGGGCGAAAGCCUGACGGAGCAACGCCGCGUGAGUGAUGAAGGUCUUCGGAUCGUAAAACUCUGUUAUUAGGGAAGAACAAAUGUGUAAGUAACUAUGCACGUCUUGACGGUACCUAAUCAGAAAGCCACGGCUAACUACGUG